CAAAAGGAAGCACAAAGAUUACAGCUAUGCUUUGUCCAAGUGAAUGGAUAAAUUCUCACUCAUCCUCUUAGAGGAAAAUUGGUAACAAAUGCUCCUUUCCAAGCCAGUUUUUUAAGACCCCAAGCCAGCUUUGGACCACGGCUUCAGUAGAUGUUUGUGUGUGGAUUUAGGAUGAUCCACUCUUAGCUGUCACUUGCUACAGUGUUGCUCUCCUCCCUGUCUUCGCUCAGUGUGUAGAACGUGGGUCCUCGGUUGUGUCUCCAGGAUCAUCGUUGCCUGCCCCAUCACCAUCAAAGCAGCUUCUCAGCUGCGGUGGUGGAUCCAGCCCAUCCAGUGGUCCACCUGGGAGAUCUCAGCCAAGCUAUCUCAACACACUUCUCUGCUUGGAAUUGGUAUUAUGUAUUAUCUUUGUUUUAGGAUGUAGGGUAGGAACUGAAUCUAUUGUUUUUCUCAACACUGUAUUCCCAGGCCUAAUAAGGCUAGUAGGUGUAAUAAUAACCUGUUGUUAGAGCAAAAAAGAUGGCAUAAACUGUCUCCCUUGUUGUUUGAUCCUCUUUGAAACUUUUCAUUGGUAGUGAGCACAAAAAGGAUUAAAGCUCUGCCUACCAACAUCUCUGCUACAAGAGACUGGCCCCCACUGUGAGAAUGCUCUGCCUGAUCGCUGAAGAUUCACAGGCUUCCAGGCACGAUCAU
rnacentral:lncRNA from 1 species